rnacentral:rRNA from 1 species
AGAGUUUGAUCCUGGCUCAGAAUGAACGCUGGCGGCGUGCUUAACACAUGCAAGUCGAACGAUGAACCUAGCUUGCUAGGGGAUUAGUGGCGCACGGGUGAGUAAUAUAUAGGUAACGUGCCUCUUAGUCUAGGAUAGCCAUUGGAAACGAUGAUUAAUACUGGAUACUCCUUCUAACUUUAAAGUUAGUUGGGAAAGUUUUUCGCUAAGAGAUCGGCCUAUUUCCCAUCAGCUUGUUGGUAGUGUAAGAGACUACCAAGGCUAUGACGGGUAGCGGGUUUGAGAGGAUGAUCCGCCACACUGGUACUGAGACACGGACCAGACUCCUACGGGAGGCAGCAGUGAGGAAUAUUGCACAAUGGAGGAAACUCUGAUGCAGCAACGCCGCGUGGAGGAUGACGCAUUUCGGUGUGUAAACUCCUUUUAUGAUCAAGAAAAG